rnacentral:rRNA from 1 species
ACGGGUGAGUAAUACUUAGGAAUUACCCCAGUAGUGGGGGACACCCGGAGAAAUCCGGCUAAUACCGCAUACGCCCCUACGGGAGAAAGCGGGGGCUCUUCGGACCUCGCGCUAUUGGAUAAGCCUUAAGCCGGAUUAGCUAGUUGGUGGGGUAAUGGCCCCACCCAAGGCAACGAUCCCGUAGCUGGUCUGAGAGGACGAUCAGCCCACACUGGGAACUGAGACACGGCCCCAGAUCUCUUACGGGAGGGCAGCAGUGGGGAAAUAUUUGGACCAAUGGGGGGCAACCCCUGAUCCAGCAAUGCCCGCGGUGUGGUGAAGAAAGGCUCUGCGGGUUUGUAAAGCACUUUCCAGUGGGGAAAGAAAAAUCUCGGGGGUUAUUUAUCCCGCGGGGCCUUGACGUUACCCAAAGAAGAAGCACCGGCUAACUCCGUGCCAGCAGCCGCGGUAAUACGGAGGGUGCGAGCGUUAAUCGGAAUUACUGGGCGUAAAGCGCGCGUAGGCGGCUUGGUAAGUCGGAUGUGAAAGCCCCGGGCUCAACCUGGGAAUUGCAUUCGAAACUGCCUGACUAGAGUAUGGGAGAGGGAAGUGGAAUUUCCGGUGUAGCGGUGAAAUGCGUAGAUAUCGGAAGGAACACCAGUGGCGAAGGCGAC